rnacentral:rRNA from 1 species
UACGUAGGGUGCAAGCGUUAAUCGGGAUUACUGGGCGUAAAGCGUGCGCAGGCGGUGAUGUAAGACAGGUGUGAAAUCCCCGGGCUUAACCUGGGAACUGCAUUUGUGACUGCAUCGCUGGAGUGCGGCAGAGGGGGAUGGAAUUCCGCGUGUAGCAGUGAAAUGCGUAGAUAUGCGGAGGAAUACCGAUGGCGAAGGCAGCCCCCUGGGAUAACACUGACGCUCAUGCACGAAAGCGUGGGGAGCAAACAGG